CGUCUUCUUUCUGUGGCGCCUCCAGAUACAUACUUCCCAAGCCCUCCGGCCUCCUGAAGAGCCAUCCCUCAGAAUAAGGCUGCGCACCUGUAGUUCUGGUUCUGUGUUCCACCUGAGAAGAUGGGUAACUACCUUUCCGGUAACUCUGCUUCUGGCUGGGAGAACUGAAGAAGUCUUACCUAGAAGUUGUUUGUACCAAGAUUCAGGAGCCACACAGGUGGAGGGCAGUUGGAGUGCUGAGGAUGCAAUAUAUUGAGAUAGAAGAAAAAGAAGAAGGAGGAAGAGGAGGAG